rnacentral:tRNA from 3 species
CGGGGCGUGGCGCAGCCUGGUAGCGCACCGACUUUGGGUGUCGGGGGUCCCCGGUUCGAAUCCGGGCGCCCCGA